CUCCCGCCCGAACCGCAGACCCCGGGCGCCGUCGCCGCCUGUUCCUCAGGAGAGAGGACAGGAGCUGAGGGGAGAGCCCGAGGGAGGAAGGCGCGAAGGUGAGGUGAAGCCGGGGGCAGCCCGACAGCCUCCCGACCCCCUACUCUUCACCUUCCCGUAACCGCGUCUCUUACCGGUGAUAGCGGUGAACUGCUGGAUUAACCCCUUGAGCGCCGACGACGCCGCGGAGCCCCCGUGGGCAGCCAUCUUAUCGCCGCCGCCGCCGCCGCGGAACAACAACACAGACACACACGGGCCGCCCUCCCCCACUCCGCGGCGGGCUGUGCGCAGGCGCACUGGCGGGCCCAAAGCUGGCAGGCCCAAAGCUCCGCCCCCUCCCUCGGGCGCGCGACUCGCGCAGGCGUGAUCUCCACCAGCCGCCUGGCGACCAGCUGUGGUGUGACUCCCGCGUUGCUACCUGCUAGCCUCGCAUUCUUUGAAACAUUUAAUGGCCUCUUCUAGCCCCAAGGUAUUCUCCUAAAUGCCGCGUUGGAGCCCAGUGUCGGAAAGAAGCUCCAGAACUGAAAUACCAGAACCUUCAUGCUAUGCACGGGGUUUCACAUAUAUUUAGAGGGGUGGUCCAUGAUCAUGGAAGGAAGCAGACAGACAUGGCUUUGGGACAGUAGCUGAGAGCUUUACAUCCCAAUCUUCAGACAGCAGGCAAAGAAAGAGACACAGGUUGCUUCAUCUCAUCGCCCAGCCAUGGUACAUUGUCCUAGGAAGUGUGAUUCCUGCUGUGACAAGACGGUUUGUGAUGAGGAAGCGGUACAUGCUUCCCAUCCAGCACCUGGGAGUCUGAAGCGGGAGACUCUCCAGUGCAAAACUAGUCUGAGCUACCAGCAUGUUCCAGGCCAGCCCAAGCUACAAAGCAAAAUACUGUUUCCAAAACAGGUCAACAAAGUAAACUUCUGAGACCACAUUUACAUAUUUUAUUAUAGAUAUAGUGUAGUAUGUUAUUAUUACUCUAUAUUGCUAAGUUUUUACUGUGCAUAAUUUAUUAAGUUUUAUCAUAAGUAAUGUGUGUGUAGGAAAAUAUGUAGCAUAUGUAGAGCUGAAUAUUGGGCAUCUGCAGUUUUAAACAUCUACUGGUAACUUGUAAUCUGUUUCCUGUGGAUUAAGGGACACUACUAUGGUAAUAAGAGAUGUCUGCCUUAUCCUAAAGAUUAUUUUUUUAGGAGAGAUUAGGAUCUCACUAUGUUAUGUAGCUCUGGCUGUCCUGUAAUUUACUGUGUAGACCAAGCUACUCUAGAACUCACAGAGAUCCACGCACCAGUCUCUUUUUAAAGCUUACUUUUAAUUUUUUACAUUUAUUUAUUUAUGUAGGAGCAGGUAUAUGUGCCACAGCAUUCAAUUUGGGGAAGAAAGGGUUUUUUUAAUCUCAAAGCUUGUAGUCCAUCAUCUAGGGAUGUCCAGGCAAGAACCUGGAGGCAGGAACUGAAGCAGAAGCCGUGGAGGAACCAUUUAAUGACUUGGUCCUGAUGGCUUGUUCAGUCUGCUUUCUUGUACCAUCCAGGAUCCCUGCCCACGAGUAGCAUCGUCCACAAAGGGUUGGGCCCUUCCUCAUCAAUCACUAAGAAAAUGCCCCACAAACCAAUCUAAUGAAAGCAUUUUCUCAGUUGUGGUGGCCCCCUCUAGCUUGUGUCAGAGUUGAUAAAUAACAAAAUAAAACUAUACAAACAAACAACAACCAGGACAACAGACCACUUUUUAUUUUCUAGCAGAUUGUGAAAGUGUACCAGUUUGAACUAGGUAGUAGGUCCACCUAGAACUCUAUGCUACCAGGCUAGCCUCAAUUUCUCCCUGCUCCUAGCAAAACCAAAACAAUAAAAACUCAAAGUCCUUGGGUGACUGGAGAGAUGGAUCAGCAGUUAAGAACAUUGUCUGCUCUUCUAGAAAACCCAGGUUCUAUUACCAGCACCCACAGUGACAGCUCACAGUCAUCUGGUAACUCCAGUUCUAA